rnacentral:rRNA from 1 species
CCUACGGGUGACUGCAGUAGGGAAUCUUCCACAAUGGGCGAAAGCCUGAUGGAGCAACGCCGCGUGGGUGAAGAAGGUCUUCGGAUCGUAAAACCCUGUUGUUAGAGAAGAAAGUGCGUGAGAGUAACUGUUCACGUGUCGACGGUAUCUAACCAGAAAGCCACGGAUAACUACGUGCCAGCAGCCGCGGUAAUACGUAGGUGGCAAGCGUUAGCCGGAAUUAUUGGGCGUAAAGGGAACGCAGGCGGUCUUUUAAGUCUGAUGUGAAAGCCUUCGGCUUAACCGGGGUAGUGCAUUGGAACCUGGGUGACUUGCGUGCAGAAGCGGCGAGUGGCACUCCAUGUGU